UACGUAGGUGGCAAGCGUUGUCCGGAUUUACUGGGCGUAAAGGGCGUGCAGGCGGUCUGUUAAGUGCAGGGUGAAAGCUCCCGGCUCAACUGGGAGAGGUCCUUGCAUACUGGCGGACUUGAGGGGGGUAGAGGAAAGUGGAAUUCCCGGUGUAGUGGUGAUAUGCGUAGAUAUCAGGAGGAACACCUGCGGUGUAGACGGCUUACUGGACGGUAACUGACGCUGAGGCACGAAAGCGUGGGUAGCAAACAGG
rnacentral:rRNA from 1 species